CAGACAGAGGCAGUGGAGAAAAGUCAACAGACAUAGCUCAGAUCAGUAGUCAAAGCUUUGAGAGCUAUCCAGAUUGUCCAAGCGCUCAUCCAAGUGACCAGGCAUUUGAACAGAUCCACAGUAGUGCUCGUGAACCUGCUCCAACAGCUCGCUGGCACUCAAAUCCACCAAUACAAACUCCCCUAAGUUCCAAGAACUCAAAAAUGAAAUAUGUUGACAUUUUUUGGAGUGAGUUGUGAAAGGAAAGGAGACAAAGGUAUAUUUCACCAGGAGAAGCAGACUGCACAAGUAUAAGAUAUAAUUUUGCUGCUACUCUGUCCAAUGACUUUCAGAACUGAAAUUGAGAAGAAAGAGACGAUUGUGGAAACUUUCUUUUUCCUUUUAGAAAAAAAGAAUCCUACAAAAUAAGUUUUAGAAGGAUGGUGCUUAGAUUAAUUGGGCAAUAUGAUGCCUAUAUUUCCACCUUUACUGUUAAUGGUCUCAGAGGUGGUGGCACACCGCCUGUUGUGCUGCCUUUGACUACGCAGGGGAAUUCUCUGUUGGCUGUGCUUGGCUGUAUUAUAUUCAUAUAAAUUAACAUAAUGGUCUGAUGACAGCACCCAUCUGAUAAUUAUGACUCAAACCUUCUUGAUCAUAUGUGCCUUUAUGCAGAGGAAACACAUGGCACAGACAAACAGGUCAGCACAUGUUUUAUAUGUGUAAUGUACCCUUGGAACAUAGAUCCAUGGGGCAAAAUUGUACUUCAGGCAACAUUUGGAUGAAUCAGGGAAA